rnacentral:rRNA from 1 species
CCUACGGGUGGCAGCAGUGAGGAAUAUUGGUCAAUGGACGAGAGUCUGAACCAGCCAAGUAGCGUGAAGGAUGACUGCCCUAUGGGUUGUAAACUUCUUUUAUAUGGGAAUAAAACGUUCCACGUGUGGGAUUUUGUAUGUACCAUAUGAAUAAGGAUCGGCUAACUCCGUGCCAGCAGCCGCGGUAAUACGGAGGAUCCGAGCGUUAUCCGGAUUUAUUGGGUUUAAAGGGAGCGUAGGUGGAGUGUUAAGUCAGUUGUGAAAGUUUGCGGCUCAACCGUAAAAUUGCAGUUGAAACUGGCAGUCUUGAGUACAGUAGAGUUGGGCGGAAUUCGUGGUGUAGCGGUGAAAUGCUUAGAUAUCACGAAGAACUCCGAUUGCGAAGGCAGUUCACUGGACUGCAACUGACACUGAGGCUCGAAAGUGUGGGUAUCAAACAGGAUUAGAUACCCGUGUAGUC